rnacentral:rRNA from 1 species
GAUGAACGCUGGCGGCGUGCUUAACACAUGCAAGUCGAACGAUGAAGCCCAGCUUGCUGGGUGGAUUAGUGGCGAACGGGUGAGUAACACGUGAGUAACCUGCCCUUAACUCUGGGAUAAGCCUGGUAAACUGGGUCUAAUACCGGAUAGGAGCGCCUACCGCAUGGUGGGUGUUGGAGAGAUUUAUCGGUUUUGGAUGGACUCGCGGCCUAUCAGCUUGUUGGUGAGGUAAUGGCUCACCAAGGCGACGACGGGUAGCCGGCCUGAGAGGGUGACCGGCCACACUGGGACUGAGACACGGCCCAGACUCCUACGGGAGGCAGCAGUGGGGAAUAUUGCACAAUGGGCGAAAGCCUGAUGCAGCGACGCCGCGUGAGGGAUGACGGCCUUCGGGUUGUAAACCUCUUUCAGUAGGGAAGAAGCGAAAGUGACGGUACCUGCAGAAGAAGCACCGGCUAACUACGUG